GGAGGAGGGGGUUACAUGUGUGUGUCUGUCACCCCCAAACCCAACAGCUGGAGGCUACAGGGUCGAGAGAGGGUCCUGCAUCGCUGCAGGGGGAGCAACAUGUGGGAAAGUCCAUAAGAUGGACCAGAAAAUGGACUCAGUCCUGCGGAUCCUGAAGGAGCAGUUCCCACCCAAGCCAGAGUCCAAACCCUCCAUCCGUAGGGUGACCAUCCAGAAACGCAUGGGUGCCAGCAUCGACGAAGGGCCCUGAUGUCACAGAGACCUUCACAUUGGGACAAUUAACGGAGCAGGAGUUCACAUAAACAGCCUCCUAUGUGUGGGGCGGUUUACAAAUAGUAAGGGGACUCAGUCUUCCGAAACCCCUCCUUCUCUUACUUUUGCAAUCCUAAAUUUUCUUUUUUGACCUUUGACCCCUGAGACGAGAACAACUUUUAAUUGUCCACUUGACUCUCAUUUCAGACAUUAGGACAAAACAACCACUGUGAGUGGGAUUCAGGGCGUGGAAAACAAGCUAACCAACCUCUUCCUCUGGAUGAUUGUAGGCCCCGCAUGGGUCCUUUGUCGUUACUUCAGUGUAGCUUACUCUUCUGCUAGUAUUGUGGGCCCUCAGUCUGUGCCUGCGGUCAUUUAUUUCACUAUAUUAGCCUCAUAAUCACACUUCUCUAUGAUGUAAAUUUAUGUGUGGCCUGUCACUGAGCUGCAUUCCUCCACUCCAAAUAUUAUUCCAAAGCUAACUAACCCCAUAAUGAAGUCGUAAUGCAAUCAAAGCACUCAAGUUCCCCAAAGACGUUGAAAAAAAAAAACUCUAAGUGCAGCCAUGGCAGAGGCAUUCCUCAAAUCCUUCUGAUUAUCUUGGCACCAUCCACCCACCCAGUACACAACAGGGCUAUUUCCAUAGACACAUAUCCAUCUAGCCUAACUGUACUUAGGCUGCAGCGGGUGUUUGUUAGUAGUGAUCGAAUAACAUGAGGAGGGAAGGGCAGAUUAUCUGUUGACUUUGCCCUGCAUUAGCGACCGGAAGGCUGGAGUAAAAGAAAUGGAACUAAAGAAAUGUGUCUGGCCUUGGUUGGGUGGCUAAGAUGGUGCUGAUUUACAGCGAGGUUAGAGCUAAUAAAAAUAGCCAAACUGCCGUGACAGGACCUGUGUUUUCUUGAGGUUUUUGCUGGGAGUUUUCAUAUCAUUAUCAAUCUCAAACUCUUUUAGCAGGACCACUAAUCACACCACCACCAGGGCUCUGCUUAAUAUCUCCUCAUACCCUCGUCAGGGCACUUAGACCGCUGGGUUCCAUUUGAAAUAAAUUUGCCCCAUUAAAGCUCUGAUUAUUUUUUCUCUCCUGAGCUAAUUAAGUGCUGAAUUCCUGGUAAGGGGAGAUUACCGACUGUGAGCGACUAAUGAAAAGAAACACUGGAAAAUGUGCAGAAUUUAAACAGUGAGCUUUGAGGAGCAGGCACUCUAAUUCUGUGUGAAAGGUUUGGAAAUAUCAGGCUACCACUGAGAGCGACUUUUUCACUUUGUUUCCACCCUCGUAGUAUGUAUCUGAGAGGGCGCUGAGGCGUGUAAGAAGAAGGAAAUAAGAAAUAACUCAACUAUGUAGCUAUUGUAUGAAAGGCCUCCCAUAAUUAUAGCAUGCACAUUCCUAAAAAGAAGGAUGCACACACAAAAGAGCGAUGAAGCGGAAAGAGAAGAGGCUUUUUCUCUGCACUUGCAUAUAUUUUCAUAUUUUUGCAGUGGUUGAAAAUUAGCUAUUAUUUAUCUUCUAUAAAGUGGUUGUAUUUUAAAAGCACUCUAAUUUUGUGACAGACCUCGAUACAUAUCCGCCUGUCUGUUCUCCUGUACAGUUUUAUAAGAGUUGUAAAUAGAAUCACUGCCUUAUUGUACUUACUGUAUUUAUUAUAAUGUGGAAAGAUCAACCUGGAACAUGUACGCUUGUUGGGGUGGUGAGAAACACAGUGAGGCUUCCGUUGUUCAAAUGGAUGGAAACGAUUGUAAAUGGUAUUCACACACACCCUCUGCACUGUAGCUCUGCUGUAAAUAAUAAAACUCCAUUUCAUUACGCUCUGGCAUGGGAGAAAUCUGAUUACCAGCUCAUCUAUUCCAUAAUUUGCUUUCGUUGGAGGGUGAAACCUGUC
ensembl:lncRNA